GGGUUCGUGAUAUCUGUGACAGGGAUUUUUAAGCGAACCCAGGUGAUGAUAUAUGAUUAUGGGGAUUACGGGAUAGAGUGAUCAUGAUGUAAUUAGCUAGUAGAUAUGGACUUUCUUUUGACUUAUGUAUAUAUGGACAUUUGAAUUGAAAGUUGGAAUUUAUCUUUGUUUAGCUA